CAAUAGCGUAUAUUAAAGUUGUUGCAGUUAAAAAGCUCGUAGUUGGAUUUGUGGCGUACGGUGGGUUCCGGGCACUUGUUGUCUGAGUAACUUGCUGUUGCCAUCCUUGGGUGGAACCUGUGUGGCAUUAGGUUGUCGUGCAGGGGAUGCCCAUCAUUUACUGUGAAAAAAUUAGAGUGUUCAAAGCAGGCUUAUGCCGUUGAGUAUAUUAGCAUGGAAUAAUGAGAUAGGACUUUUUUGCUAUUUUGUUGGUUUGCGCAAAGAGGUAAUGAUUAAUAGGGACAGUUGGGGGUAUUCGUAUUCCAUUGUCAGAGGUGAAAUUCUUGGAUUUUUGGAAGACGAACUACUGCGAAAGCAUUUACCAAGGAUGUUUUCAUUAA
rnacentral:rRNA from 1 species